rnacentral:rRNA from 1 species
AUUGAACGCUGGCGGCAGGCCUAACACAUGCAGGUCGAGCGGAUGAAGAGAGCUUGCUCUCUGAUUCAGCGGCGGACGGGUGAGUAAUGCCUAGGAAUCUGCCUGGUAGUGGGGGACAACGUUUCGAAAGGAACGCUAAUACCGCAUACGUCCUACGGGAGAAAGUGGGGGAUCUUCGGACCUCACGCUAUCAGAUGAGCCUAGGUACGAUUAGCUAGUUGGUGAGGUAAAGGCUCACCAAGGCGACGAUCGUUAACUGGUCUGAGAGGAUGAUCAGUCACACUGGAACUGAGACACGGUCCAGACUCCUACGGGAGGCAGCAGUGGGGAAUAUUGGACAAUGGGCGAAAGCCUGAUCCAGCCAUGCCGCGUGUGUGAAGAAGGUCUUCGGAUUGUAAAGCACUUUAAGUUGGGAGGAAGGGCAGUGAGUUAAUACCUUGCUGUCUUGACGUUACCGACAGAAUAAGCACCGGCUAACUUCGUGCCAGCCGCCGCAGUAAUAC